rnacentral:rRNA from 1 species
GCGGGWAUUCGAUUGGRAACAGAUGCUAAUACCGAAUAAAACUUAGUAUCGCAUGAUAUCAAGUUAAAAGGCGCUACGGCGUCACCUAGAGAUGGAUCCGCGGUGCAUUAGUUAGUUGGUGGGGUAAAGGCUUACCAAGACGAUGAUGCAUAGCCGAGUUGAGAGACUGAUCGGCCACAUUGGGACUGAGACACGGCCCAAACUCCUACGGGAGGCUGCAGUAGGGAAUCUUCCACAAUGGGCGCAAGCCUGAUGGAGCAACGCCGCGUGUGUGAUGAAGGCUUUCGGGUCGUAAAGCACUGUUGUAUGGGAAGAAAUGCUAAAAUAGGGAAUGAUUUUAGUUUGACGGUACCAUACCAGAAAGGGACGGCUAAAUACGUGCCACAGCCGCGGUAAUACGAUAAUCACUAGUGAAUUCGCGGCCGCCUGCAGGUCGACCAUAUGGGAGAGCUCCCAACGC